ACAUACAAAUUCUUUGUAAAAAGUCGCCCGGAAGAUGAAUGGGUUAAUAUGUACACACCCCCAUUAUCAUUUCCACUUAAGAUUCCCUGAUAAUUUUUACAGUAUGCAUUCCUACCAUCAUACUUGGUUUCUACAAGACCAGCUGCACGACAUCGCACAAAGCAAACCUACCUGCUUCUCUAACUGUGAACAACCCUAUGACUGAAAAUCCCAGCACAUGUAUAAGCAAAACUGGAUGAGCAAUUUACAGGUGCUACAUCUCUCACAUGACGACUACCAUAACCAAUAACACUUGUAUAGAAAUAACAUCAUAAAUAAUGUUAAGAAUGAGAUGUCUGACUCUUUUUCAUAAUCAUCGAGAUAAAGCACUUUGAUGAUUCUUGAUCCUUCAACCACAAGGGGACCCCUUCAUCUUGGAACCUUAAGAUGAUUACACAGCUAAAGACAUCCUGCGCUAAGCGGCCUUUCGCAUCAAUGCCCCCCCUCUGAUCCGGAUCCAGAGGAACUAUCGCUAUCAGAAUCACUUGAGGAUGAACCUGAAUCGCUGCUGGAACUGCUUGAACUACUAGACCUACUUGCAUUAUCCAUCUGUCUUCCCGCUUCAGUAUUACUGUUCG
rnacentral:misc_RNA from 1 species